rnacentral:rRNA from 1 species
UACGUAGGGUGCGAGCGUUGUCCGGAAUUACUGGGCGUAAAGAGCUCGUAGGUGGUUUGUCGCGUUGUUCGUGAAAACUCACAGCUUAACUGUGGGCGUGCGGGCGAUACGGGGCAGACUGGAGUACUGCAGGGGAGACUGGAAUUCCUGGUGUAGCGGUGGAAUGCGCAGAUAUCAGGAGGAACACCGGUGGCGAAGGCGGGGUCUCUGGGGCAGUAACUGACGCUGAGGAGCGAAAGCGUGGGGAGCGAACAGG